AGAGUUUGAUCCUGGCUCAGAGCGAACGCUGGCGGCGUGCUUAACACAUGCAAGUCGAACGCGCAGCAUUCUGUAGCAAUACGGGGUGUGGGCGCGUGGCGAACGGGUGCGUAACACGUGAAUAACCUUCCUUCAGGUGGGGAAUAACCCAGUGAAAAUUGGGCUAAUACCGCAUAACAUGACGAUGGCACAUGCUGUUGUCUUCAAAGGCGCAAGUCGCCAGAAGAGGGAUCCGCGGCCGAUUAGCUUGUUGGCGAGGUAAUGGCUCACCAAGGCAUUGAUCGGUAGCCGGACUGAGAGGUUGACCGGCCACACUGGAACUGAGACACGGUCCAGACUCCUACGGGAGGCAGCAGUGGGGAAUCUUGCACAAUGGACGAAAGUCUGAUGCAGCAACGCCGCGUGGGGGAUGAAGCUUCUCGGAGUGUAAACCCCUUUCGACCCGGAAGAAUGCCCGCAAGGGUUUGACGGUACGGGUAUAAGAAGCCCCGGCUAACUACGUGCCAGCAGCCGCGGUAAUACGUAGGGGGCCAGCGUUGCUCGGAAUUACUGGGCGUAAAGGGUCCGUAGGCGGUCGCGGCAAGUCGAGAGUGAAAUCCCUAGGCUUAACCUAGGGGCUGCUAGCGAAACUGCCGUGCUAGAGUGUGAGAGAGGCGCAGUGGAAUUACGGGUUGUAAGCGGCUGGAAAUGCGUAGAUAUUCCGUUAGGAAACAUCC
rnacentral:rRNA from 1 species